rnacentral:rRNA from 1 species
GAUGAACGCUGGCGGCAUGCUUAACACAUGCCAGUCGGACGGGAAGUGGUGUUUCCUGUGGCGGACGUGUGAGUAACGCGUAAGAACCUGCCCUUUGGAUGGGAACAAUAACUGAAAACGGUUGCUAAUAGCCCGCAGAGCUAGUAGCGAAAGGCGGAAUCCACCCGAGGAGUGGCUUGCGUCUGAUUAGCUUGUUGUUGAGGUAAUAGCUUACCAAGGCGAUGGUCAGUAGUUGGUCCGAGAGGAUGAUCAGCCACACUGGGACUGAGACACGCACCAGACUACCACGGGAGGCAGCCGAGGGGAAUUUGCCGCAAUGCGCGAAAGCCUGACGGAGCAAUGCCGCGGGGAAGUAGAAGGACCAGGGAUCGUGAACUUCUUUUCUAGGAGAAGACACAAUGACGGUACCUGAGCAAUAAGCCACGGCUAACUCUGUG